GACGAACGCUGGCGGCGUGCUUAACACAUGCAAGUCGAACGGAAAGGCCUGCUUUCCCUUGUGGAUUGCGGGUACUCGAGUGGCGAACGGGUGAGUAACACGUGAGUGAUCUGCCCCCAACUUGGGUAUAAGCCUGGGAAACUGGGUCUAAUUCCCGAUAGGACUGCAGGGUGGUGCCUGUGGUGGAAAACGAUUUUCUAGUGGUUGGGGAUGAGCUCGCGGCCUAUCAGCUUGUUGGUGGGGUAAUGGCCUACCAAGGCGGCGACGGGUAGCCGGCCUGAGAGGGUGGACGGCCACAUUGGGACUGAGAUACGGCCCAGACUCCUACGGGAGGCAGCAGUGGGGAAUAUUGCACGAUGGGCGGAAGCCUGAUGCAGCGACGCCGCGUGAGGGAUGACGGCCUUCGGGUUGUAAACUCCUUUCGACCGCGAGGAAGCCACCUGGUUGGAAGGGUGGUGACGGUAGUGGUAGAAGAAGCACCGGCUAACUACGUG
rnacentral:rRNA from 1 species